GGAAAAAAUUGUUUCACAAUGACCAGAGUGCACCAUGCUCAAACUCUUGAACAUUUGUAAACUCCACUAAGCUUUAAUCACAAUGUAGCUGAAGUCAAAAGUAUCACAUAUUUAACUUCAGAAAAUUUACUAUAAUCCAGGCAAUUGUUUUGCUAUUUCCAAUGUGAUUAUUUUUAAAGCAAGCAAACAAUAAUAUGUAAUGGUUGCCCUAUUUAGCAAAGUAUUA
rnacentral:misc_RNA from 1 species